rnacentral:tRNA from 1 species
CUGGGUGUAGCUCAGUCUGGUCAGAGUCCCCGCUUUGGAAGCGGGAUGCCAUUGGUUCAAAUCCAAUCACCCAGACCA